CAAGGACACAACCAGCUCAAGGCUGCCUUCUAAACCAGGGAGGAAAAAGGAAACUUCAUCUCUUCUUCAGUGGACCAUCCCAAACAUCCCCAAAGAGCUUCAUCAGAAAGUUAAAACAUGGAGAAAAGGCAGAAAAACAAGUGACCUGCUGGAAGCAGCUCAUAGCCAAGAAGAAAAAGGCAAGAAAUGUGUUCCCAUCUGAGGUAGGUCCAGUUUCUCCUUCCAAAGUCACCAAUCAGGUACAUCAUUUUAUCUGGAGGGGGUGGGGAAGGCAAGUGGGAG
rnacentral:lncRNA from 1 species